UGUGGGGGAUAUUUUCUGAAAACGGAUCAAAACUGGACAGUGAAGGAACCAGCGGGUGGUCACAGAAGGCCAUUACUAUUAUCUUUCCGCUGUGUGCUGUCUCGGCUUUAAGUCUGAUUGUUACAGCCUUCCUCAUUCACGCCAUCAAGAGAAACAACACUGCUGUUAGCGUGAAAAAACACAGUGGUGGU